AGCAUGUGGUUAAUUCGAAGCAACGCGAAGAACCUUACCAGGUCUUGACAUCCCCUAGACAACCCGAGAGAUCGGGCGUCCCCUUCGGGGGACAGGGUGACAGGUGGUGCAUGGUUGUCGUCAGCUCGUGUCGUGAGAUGUUGGGUUAAGUCCCGCAACGAGCGCAACCCUCGACCUUAGUUGCCAGCAUUCAGUUGGGCACUCUAAGGUGACUGCCGGCUAAAAAGUCGGAGGAAGGUGGGGAUGACGUCAAAUCAUCAUGCCCCUUAUGACCUGGGCUACACACGUGCUACAAUGGGCGGUACAAAGGGUCGCGAACCCGCGAGGGGGAGCCAAUCCCAAAAAGCCGCUCUCAGUUCGGAUCGGAGGCUGCAACCCGCCUCCGUGAAGUCGGAGUUGCUAGUAAUCGCGGAUCAGCAUGCCGCGGUGAAUACGUUCCCGGGCCUU
rnacentral:rRNA from 1 species